CGAAGGGGGCUAGCGUUGCUCGGAAUUACUGGGCGUAAAGGGAGCGUAGGCGGACAUUUAAGUCAGAGGUGAAAUCCCGGAGCUUAACUUCGGAACUGCCUUUGAUACUGGGUGUCUUGAGUGUGAGAGAGGUAUGUGGAACUCCGAGUGUAGAGGUGAAAUUCGUAGAUAUUCGGAAGAACACCAGUGGCGAAGGCGUCAUACUGGCUCAUUACUGACGCUGAGGCUCGAAAGCGUGGGGAGCAAACAGGAUUAGAUACCCUGGUAGUCCACGCCGUAAACGGUGAUUGCUAGUUGUCGGGAAGCUUGCUUCUCGGUGACGCAGCUAACGCAUUAAGCAAUCCGCCUGGGGAGUACGGUCGCAAGAUUA
rnacentral:rRNA from 1 species